UCCAGACUCCUACGGGAGGCAGCAGUGAGGAAUAUUGGUCAAUGGGCGCGAGCCUGAACCAGCCAAGUCGCGUGAGGGAAGACGGUCCUAUGGAUUGUAAACCUCUUUUGUCGGGGAGCAAAAGACGCCACGUGUGGCGUUCCGAGAGUACCCGAAGAAAAAGCAUCGGCUAACUCCGUGCCAGCAGCCGCGGUAAUACGGAGGAUGCGAGCGUUAUCCGGAUUUAUUGGGUUUAAAGGGUGCGCAGGCGGAGGUGCAAGUCAGUGGUCAAAUUGCGGGGCUCAACCCCGUACUGCCGUUGAAACUGCAUCCCUUGAGUGCGCGAGAAGUAUGCGGAAUGCGUGGUGUAGCGGUGAAAUGCAUAGAUAUCACGCAGAACUCCGAUUGCGAAGGCAGCAUACCGGCGCGCAACUGACGCUCAUGCACGAAAGCGUGGGUAUCGAACAGGAUUAGAUACCCUGGUAG
rnacentral:rRNA from 1 species